rnacentral:lncRNA from 1 species
UUUCAUAUACCACAAAUAGUGGGUGUAGCUUUUCAAUAGCGCAUUCAUCCAGUGUGUUGUCGAAAUGGUAUUUAAAAUGGCCUCAGUUUGCUAGGACGCUUGAACCCCACCUAAACUUUCCAGGUUCAUGCAAAUUAUAAUGACAAUCAGGCCUUUGUAAACGCAAUAAAUCGGAGUAGUGUAUACUUGUUUAUUCGGGAUCCAGAGUAGAGGAUAACGCUACUGUAUUUCUAAUAUUGGAAAGCGAAUUCAAUAGGCCUUCAUCAUGAAGUUUUGGAUGACGGUUCUUUCACUCUUGGUGACAAUCGUUCCAGGUUUCGUUUCAGCCGAACCGCUAGAAAAUAUCAAUAAGGAAGCCCUUGCCCUUAUCAUCAUACCUCUAUGUAUGAUCUUCUUCAUGUUAUAUGUCUACACCAGUCAGGAUGAUGACGACAAUGAAAACGAGGAUGAAGACAUUGAAAACCCAGGGGAACUUGACUACGUCGAGAACACGCGUUUCUAAAACCAAACAACUCUUUUCAACUGUAAAUAUUUCAAGACACGCAAUAAAACAUUGUCAAAUAAAACAUGAGGGAACGGGCCCUGUGACCUUCACCGUGUCCACUUUCAGUUUAGAAUAUUUGUGUACCGGAGAUGGGCCUUUUUUUAUUCCUCCAAUACUCUUAAAGGUAUGGUCAAAGUAAAAGUUAUCGGUUGGCAAAUUGUGUCCGCCCGAUAACAAUGGUCAUUAUCAAUCAGAAUUGUGGUAGAUUUAACUUUUUUGUCGGUCAGACACAUACAUAAUACAGACACGUAUUACUUUUACCAAUAUUUUUAUGAAUGAAGUCUCCUGGCACGCAAGGGAGAGGGGCAGUUGCUCCUCCGAGAUCUUUUCAGUCUUGGUAGAAAAAAAUGAAUAAAUCGGAUUUCUUAUAGUAAAAAAAACAAAAGAACAAGUGGUGAUAUGACAUAACAAUUUGCUCAUUGAUAUUCAUGAAUACUUGGCGAGAUCUAUUUCCCCGGAAAAUUGCAAAACUUUAAAAUGCCACAACUUUGUUAUGCCCUGUCCGAUUUUAAUAAAAUUUUCGGUGUUUUGUUUGUCCGAUUUUUCUUCAUCUGUUUAAAUCAUACUAUUCUCAGCCCGGAUCAUAUCUUUAACGCCAGCACGGUGAAUUGACUAGGCGUUUUGCUCACUCAGCUGACUAUCAACAUUUGCAAUUUCGGUGAACUUUGUACAGCUAUCACUUCGUUUCAGUUGUCAACAGUUGUAACAUAUUUGCAGAUGGGUAAAAAAGUAUAUUCAUGCCUGAGUACGGGUCAUUUUCUUUUACCUAUUUAAAGAGGAUUGAUGUUCUACUAAAAGUUUUUAUCCCCACUAACGAUAAGAUUAUAGAGAUUUGAUCUUGCAGGUUCACACUUAAAGGGAUAUUGAUAUUGAUCCAAUCUUCUGAACAGGAAUGUGAGUGGCUUGUCUGCGUUCCUAGCUAUAAUAUUUGCGCCUUGUUAUAAUCUUCACAACAAAAUUCAAGUUCAAUUACAUGCACACUGUACAUUGAUUUUAAGUGUAUCAUAAAAUCUAACUACGGCGUUUCCAGUUUAUAGUAUUUACACGAUAAAUAUUCACCUGUCCUAUAAAACAUAUAUCAAUAUUGACAUCUGGUUGUGUUCGUUUCCGGGUUGGUUUACCAAAACACAUACAUGUAUAUCGCUCCAAUCCAAAGAUGACAAUUAAACAAAAAAAUCUAUUCUGUAAAGAACCCUGAAAUGCUCAAAAUAUACACGAUGUAUAUAAGCUACAUGCUUGUAUGUCAUCAUUUUCUCAUGUUUCAUAGAUUUUUAUAUGGUGUAUGGAACUAUAUUUUAUUAUUACAAAGUGAUAUACUUUUUCUUUCCGAUUACUAUAGCGCUAGAUAAAGUGAAUCACAAUUGAUUUAACUCAUUGCCAUUGUAUACGUAAUCAAGAAAUCUAUGCUUAUCAACUUCUAUGUGUCAUGUAAGUAGUUAGAAUAUGAAUUGUUUGGACUAAACCAGGAGCCAUGUGAGUGUGCCUGUUAGGGUGUGUGUGUAUGUGUGUGUGGGGGGGGGGUAAUAUAGAGCCCGAUUUCACAAUACCCCUAUCGACAAUUGAAUUUAAGAAUCGCUGUAGAGAAGAUUCUAACCUUUGACAUGUUUGAAUUAACAUUAUUGAGCUUUAAUAGUCAGGCAUGACUAAAAAAUGAAUCCUUACAGUAAUAGACGGGCAAAUGUUUCAGGGAAUACCAAUGCAAAUGACAAUAAUAACAAAACACACACAAAACUUAAGUUAUUUUACGUUUUGGAUAUUCAUGAUGGUGCAUAUUGAUAUAUAAUUUGUUUAGAAUAUUGUAUUGUAUGAUAUGUUUUUUUAAGGCAUACACUUGUAUAUACGAAGUGAAUAAAUUCUUAUGUACUAAAGUCUCA